AAUAGAUACCCUGGUAGUCCACGCCGUAAACGAUGAGUGCUAAGUGUUGGGGGGUUUCCGCCCCUCAGUGCUGCAGCUAACGCAUUAAGCACUCCGCCUGGGGAGUACGGUCGCAAGACUGGAACUCAAAGGAAUUGACGGGGGCCCGCACAAGCGGUGGAGCAUGUGGUUUAAUUCGAAGCAACGCGAAGAACCUUACCAGGCCUUGACAUCCCGGUGACCACUAUGGAGACAUAGUUUCCCCUUCGGGGGCAACGGUGACAGGUGGUGCAUGGUUGUCGUCAGCUCGUGUCGUGAGAUGUUGGGUUAAGUCCCGCAACGAGCGCAACCCUUAUUCUUAGUUGCCAUCAUUCAGUUGGGCACUCUAAGGAGACUGCCGGUGAUAAACCGGAGGAAGUGGGGAUGACGUCAAAUCAUCAUGCCCCUUAUGACCUGGGCUACACACGUGCUACAAUGGACGGUACAAACGGUUGCCAACCCGCGAGGGGGAGCUAAUCCGAUAAAACCGUUCUCAGUUCGGAUUGUAGGCUGCAACUCGCCUAC
rnacentral:rRNA from 1 species